rnacentral:lncRNA from 1 species
AUGCUCUAAGGCGUACCCCGAAACAAGAUUUAAGCACAAACCAAACCAGUGGAAAGUAUAAACAUCUGAAGGCAAACUGCAUAAAAGAAACACAAACAAAACAGACAUACAAUUGGCAAAUAAUUCCACUUUCCCUGUUUUCUAAAGUUAGAACACUCAGAUCCCUCUUAUUGUGUCUUCCUAAGUAUGACAAACCCUCACCCAAUCCCUUGGCGUAAGAAGCCCAUCAAAACUUGCUUUAAGUUCCAAAACAGUGAAUCCAAACACACAACCCCAUCC